CUUGGUCAUUUAGAGGAAGUAAAAGUCGUAACAAGGUUUCCGUAGGUGAACCUGCGGAAGGAUCAUUAUUGAAUGAACUUGGUGUGGUUGUCGCUGGCCCUCUUGGGGGCAUGUGCACACCUACCAUCCUCAUCUCUCCACCUGUGCACCUCUUGUAGAUUUGGAAUUGAUUAUCCGAGGCAACUCGGUCGUGAGGACUGCUAGCACUUAGCUGGCUUUCUUUGCAAUUCCAGGUCUAUGUUUUUCAUAUACCCCAUUGUAUGUAACAGAAUGUAUCAUUGGGCCCUUGUGCCUAUAAACCUUAUACAACUUUCAGCAACGGAUCUCUUGGCUCUCGCAUCGAUGAAGAACGCAGCGAAAUGCGAUAAGUAAUGUGAAUUGCAGAAUUCAGUGAAUCAUCGAAUCUUUGAACGCACCUUGCGCUCCUUGGUAUUCCGAGGAGCAUGCCUGUUUGAGUGUCAUUAAAUUCUCAACCAAUAUCAACUUUUGCUGAUAAUGGCUUGGAUGUGGGGGUCUAUUUUGCUGGCUUCUCAGAUAGUCAGCUCCCCUUAAAUGCAUUAGCCGGUGCCCCGCGUGGACUGUCUAUUGGUGUGAUAAUUAUCUACGCUAUAGACAUCUGCAAUCAUAUGGGUUUGCGCUGCUUCUAGCAGUCUGUUGAUUCAGACAAAACAUGACAAUUUGACCUCAAAUCAGGUAGGACUACCCGCUGAACUUAAGCAUAUCAAUAAGCGGAGGA
rnacentral:rRNA from 1 species